rnacentral:rRNA from 1 species
UACGUAGGGUGCGAGCGUUGUCCGGAAUUAUUGGGCGUAAAGGGCUCGUAGGCGGUUUGUCGCGUCGGGAGUGAAAACACACAGCUUAACUGUGUGCUGGCUUCCGAUACGGGCAGACUAGAGGUAUGCAGGGGAGAACGGAAUUCCUGGUGUAGCGGUGAAAUGCGCAGAUAUCAGGAAGAACACCCGUGGCGAAGGCGGCUCUCUGGGACGGUACUGACGCUGAGACGCGAAAGCGUGGGGAGCGAACAGG